GCUUCUUUUCCACGCCAAACCAACGUCCUCCGAAUUAAUGAAACUUAAUUUGGCGUUCCUGCCUUGGACCUAUUUGGCGCGCUGAGCUCGUUCUCUUCAGUCUUCACCGUCAUGCGUCGUCGUGGAGGGAGGGAUUUUCUUAGACUCGUAGAGAUCUAGAUUUCUAUUGCGUGCUGCGGUCCAUGGAGAUCGAUAAAUCAAUGAGAGUGCGACCGACGGCUUCAAACGAAGUACGACAACACUAUCCAUGUCAUUCAGAGAGCAUUAGCUUUGUAUUCUAUUGAGGAGGUUGCCUUCAGCUUCAUCGGUGGAAAAGAUUCAACAAUAGGUCGUGCUGCACCUGCUCAGGGCUGGUUAUUUCUUGCAUAGAAGGGGGCAAAAUGGUGCCAAUGGGGAUCUAAGAGAUUUUCCAAUUCGAACAACAUAUUUUGAGAGUCCUUGUGCUUUCCUAGAAAUCAACUCAUUUACCUAUAAUACGGCUGCCAUGCAUGCAGCAAAAUAUUAAUGUUGGCAGCUUAAAUUGCAGCUUGACAUCGUUCGCUUAGAUUAGAAGUCUGGUUUUGAGGCUUUGCUGAAGGAUAAGAUUGUGGUGAAGCCUUUGGAAGGGUGUGGGUGAUUCUUACGACAUGAGGAAAUGAACAUUCGAGUGGCACAUGAACUUGUCAUUCCUACUCAAGGGAAUCCACACAGGUUAUCGGGUGGUCUAUAGCAGUUCUUGGAUUGCUUAUGCACUCUCGAGGUCUGUGCGAUCCUUAACAGUCAUUUCCAAAACUGUCCAGAGAUAUCGUCCCCUCCUAUCCAGGCAAUGCAUCACUAACUUGACGUUGCGCUAAUUCGUGAUCGGGUAGCUUGACCUUCAUUGCUCGCAGUAUUUUCUUGUGAUCAAAUUUACAUGGCAUAGUUUUAGUUGAGUCACAGACCUUUUUCUUGCAUAAUUUUUGUUGUGUUCGUUGUUUGAUUCCGUUUGUGAGCGGAGUGGACAUGAUUUUGUGGUAGCGAGCCCUGAAUUUUUUGUAAAUUGUAAAGCAAACUAUAGACCCUAUGUGUCAAGGAGGGAGAUCCUGCCUAAUCCAUCAUAAUGUCGCAUGUUAAGAUUGUGGUGAAGCCUUUGGAAGGGUGUGGGUGAUUCUUACGACAUGAGGAAAUGAACAUUCGAGUGGCACAUGAACUUGUCAUUCCUACUCAAGGGAAUCCACACAGGUUAUCGGGUGGUCUAUAGCAGUUCUUGGAUUGCUUAUGCACUCUCGAGGUCUGUGCGAUCCUUAACAGUCAUUUCCAAAACUGUCCAGAGAUAUCGUCCCCUCCUAUCCAGGCAAUGCAUCACUAACUUGACGUUGCGCUAAUUCGUGAUCGGGUAGCUUGACCUUCAUUGCUCGCAGUAUUUUCUUGUGAUCAAAUUUACAUGGCAUAGUUUUAGUUGAGUCACAGACCUUUUUCUUGCAUAAUUUUUGUUGUGUUCGUUGUUUGAUUCCGUUUGUGAGCGGAGUGGACAUGAUUUUGUGGUAGCGAGCCCUGAAUUUUUUGUAAAUUGUAAAGCAAACUAUAGACCUUAUGUGUCAAGGAGGGAGAUCCUGCCUAAUCCAUCAUAAUGUCGCUUGUUAAGAUUGUGGUGAAGCCUUUGGAAGGGUGUGGGUGAUUCUUACGACAUGAGGAAAUGAACAUUCGAGUGGCACAUGAACUUGUCAUUCCUACUCAAAGGAAUGCUCACAGACUAUCGGGCGGUCCAUAGCAGUUCUUGGAUUGCUUAUGCACUCUCGAGGUCUGUGCGAUCCUUAACAGUCAUUUCCAAAACUGUCCAGAGAUAUCGUCCCCUCCUAUCCAGGCAACGCAUCACUAACUUGACGUUGCGCUAAUUCGUGAUCGGGUAGCUUGACCUUCAUUGCUCGCAGUAUUUUCUUGUGAUCAAAUUUACAUGGCAUAGUUUUAGUUGAGUCACAGACCUUUUUCUUGCAUAAUUUUUGUUGUGUUCGUUGUUUGAUUCCGUUUGUGAGCGGAGUGGACAUGAUUUUGUGGUAGCGAGCCCUGAAUUUUUUGUAAAUUGUAAAGCAAACUAUAGACCCUAUGUGUCAAGGAGGGAGAUCCUGCCUAAUCCAUCAUAAUGUCGCUUGUUAAGAUUGUGGUGAAGCCUUUGGAAGGGUGUGGGUGAUUCUUACGACAUGAGGAAAUGAACAUUCGAGUGGCACAUGAACUUGUCAUUCCUACUCAAAGGAAUGCUCACAGACUAUCGGGCGGUCCAUAGCAGUUCUUGGAUUGCUUAUGCACUCUCGAGGUCUGUGCGAUCCUUAACAGUCAUUUCCAAAACUGUCCAGAGAUAUCGUCCCCUCCUAUCCAGGCAACGCAUCACUAACUUGACGUUGCGCUAAUUCGUGAUCGGGUAGCUUGACCUUCAUUGCUCGCAGUAUUUUCUUGUGAUCAAAUUUACAUGGCAUAGUUUUAGUUGAGUCACAGACCUUUUUCUUGCAUAAUUUUUGUUGUGUUCGUUGUUUGAUUCCGUUUGUGAGCGGAGUGGACAUGAUUUUGUGGUAGCGAGCCCUGAAUUUUUUGUAAAUUGUAAAGCAAACUAUAGACCCUAUGUGUCAAGGAGGGAGAUCCUGCCUAAUCCAUCAUAAUGUCGCUUGUUAAGAUUGUGGUGAAGCCUUUGGAAGGGUGUGGGUGAUUCUUACGACAUGAGGAAAUGAACAUUCGAGUGGCACAUGAACUUGUCAUUCCUACUCAAAGGAAUGCUCACAGACUAUCGGGCGGUCCAUAGCAGUUCUUGGAUUGCUUAUGCACUCUCGAGGUCUGUGCGAUCCUUAACAGUCAUUUCCAAAACUGUCCAGAGAUAUCGUCCCCUCCUAUCCAGGCAACGCAUCACUAACUUGACGUUGCGCUAAUUCGUGAUCGGGUAGCUUGACCUUCAUUGCUCGCAGUAUUUUCUUGUGAUCAAAUUUACAUGGCAUAGUUUUAGUUGAGUCACAGACCUUUUUAUUGCAUAAUUUUUGUUGUGUUCGUUGUUUGAUUCUGCUUGUGAGCGGAGUGGACAUGAUUUUGUGAUAGCGAGCCCUGAAUUUUUUAUAAAUUGUAAAGCAAACUAUAGAGCUUAUGUGGCAAGAAGGGGGAUCCUGCCUAAGCUAUCACAAUGUCGUGUGUUAAGAUUGUGGUGAAGCCUUUGGAAGGGUGUGGGUGAUUCUUACGACAUGAGGAAAUGAACAUUCGAGGGGCACAUGAACUUAUCAUUCCUACUCAAGGGAAUCCACACAGGUUAUCGGGUGGUCUAUAGCAGUUCUUGGAUUGCUUAUGCACUCUCGAGGUCUGUGCGAUCCUUAACAGUCAUUUCCAAAACUGUCCAGAGAUAUCGUCCCCUCCUAUCCAGGCAACGCAUCACUAACUUGACGUUGCGCUAAUUCGUGAUCGGGUAGCUUGACCUUCAUUGCUCGCAGUAUUUUCUUGUGAUCAAAUUUACAUGGCAUAGUUUUAGUUGAGUCACAGACCUUUUUAUUGCAUAAUUUUUGUUGUGUUCGUUGUUUGAUUCCGUUUGUGAGUUGAGUGGACAUGAUUUUGUGGUAGCGAGCCCUGAAUUUUUAUAAAUUGUAAAGCAAACUAUAGAGCUUAUGUGUCAAGAAGGGGGAUCCUACCUAAGCUAUCAUAAUGUCGCGUGUUAAGAUUGUGGUGAAGCCUUUGGAAGGGUGUGGGUGAUUCUUACGACAUGAGGAAAUGAACAUUCAAGUAGUGUGUGAACUUAUCAUUCCUACUCAUCGGAAUCCUCAUAGAUUAUCGGGUGGUCCAUAGCAGUUCUUUGAUUGCUUAUGCACUGUCGAGGUCUGUGCGAUCCUUAACAGUCAUUUCCAAAACUAUCCAAAGAUAUUGUGCCCUCCUAUCUAGGCAAUCCAUUGCUAACUUGAUGAUGUGUUAAUUCAUGAUUGGGUAGUCUGACCUUCAAUGGUCAAAGUCUUCUCUUCUAGUCAAAUUUACAUGGCACAUUUUUACUCUCUUUUUAUAGUCCUAGCCCCUUUUCUUUCAUUUUUUGUUUUCAUUGUCUGAUUUGUGCUUUGAGCGUGGUGAAUGUGAUCUUGUGUUAGCAAGUUCUGAAAUUUGUAUAAAUUAUAUUAGUCUUUAUAUACUUGAUUUCAUAUUUCUUGUACGAACUUUUGCUUUCAAAAUAAAUGGGCUUUGUUUUCUCUUUAUAAAUAUUAAUUGGUUUUUAAUUUUAAUAUUGCUUACAUUUUUCAUUAUACUAACUCAAUUUUAUUUUGUUUACAUUACGGUUGCCAUCCAAAUCUUCCAUUUUAACUUUUCAUUAAAAAUUUAUAUGUCUAUUUUAAGCUUAAGUUUAUUGUAUAAAAAUAAUUUUUGACUUUUUUGUUUGUUUCUUUUGCUAUUGAUUGCAUAUUUAAUAUCUUAUUUUAAGUUUAAAUACAAACAAAAUUUUUUAAUCACUUUUAGGUAUGGUUUUCUGAAUUUUCUGGAAUAUUUCUGUGCAAAACAUGGGAAUACUUCUAGUUUAUUUUAAUUGGAUAUUGUUUUAACAAUAUCUAUUAGAAAUGACUGCAAAUUUUCUGUUCCAAGGAGCAUUAUUCGUUAAAGAUCUAUUAGAAAUGACUACAAAUAUUCCUUUCCAAAGAGCGUUAUUUCUCAUUGGGCGGUUGUAGAAAGGAGGACGCCUUUUGCUGGUUCUGUUGCCGCUGAGUCAUGCCACUGUCCAAUUAUUAGUGAAAAUUGUGUGUUAAAAUAAAAUUUAAUUUAUGAACUUUAAUGACCAUCAAUCUUCUUGCAACUUGUUGACCUUGUUUUAUCGGGAAAAAACGGAGCAGGAGAAAAAAAAAAGUAAUGAUAACGAUAUAGAAGAAUGCAUAAUCUUCAUUUGUUGAUAUUAAUGCGUACUAAAUAUAUUUCUUCCUGCAGUAUUGAGGAGGUUACCUUCAGCUUCUGUCUUUGAACUCAAUGACAGCAACAGUGAACUUUGAUUUUUAGGUCUUGUUGCACCUGCUCAGGGUUGGUUAUUUCUUGCAUAAAAAGGGGCGAAAUGGUGCCCAUGGGUGUCUAAGAGAUUUUCCAAUUGGAACAAUAAAAAGAGACUCCUUGUGCUUUCCUAGAAAUCAACUCAUUUACCUAUGCUGCCAUGUGAGUGGAGCAUUAUAAAGUCAUAGUUUACUUUUAUGGGACAGCUUGACAUCAUUCGCUGAAGGAGAAGCCAAUUAAAGCUAUUUUCCUUGGAGUUUGUAUUGGUCGGCCAAGAACAAUUCUCCCCUAGUUCGUCUGGUUGGCCACCUUUUAUGACAGUGAACGUCAUUUUAGAUUGGUCAUACAGGUUUUCAUUGAAGCCUUUGGAAGGGUGAGGGUGAUUCUUAUGAGGUGAGGAAAUGGACAUUCAAGUAGUUUAUGAACUUAUCAUUCCUACUCAAGGGAGUUCUCACAGAUUAUUGGGUGGUCCAUAACGGUUCGUUGAUUGCUAAUGCACUAUCGAGGAUGCUAUAGUUUAAGAUUGAGCGGUUAAGUUUCAAUGAUAACGGUCAUCUCACCUGGUCAAAUUUACACGAGAGGUAAAUGCAAGUGAAAUUAAACACACAAAUUUUCUUUCAAAGGGAGGCUGAAAAAAUUCUGGCAAAAAAGAAAAAACAGUGGCUAGGAAGUAGGAAAAUCCAGAGUAGAUGACACCAUGUGAGAGACUUAACUGGGAUGAAGAUGAUAAAAAGCCCCCCAACUCAGAGAACCGAAGAUGUCAUCAAAGUAUAGAAGAACAUGCACGUAGUCAAAGUAGAGAGGAGUAAGAUAAUUCCCAACGCACAAAGCUAAGCAUGUUUUUUAAGUAAAGAUGAAGUAAAGAGGAGAACAAGCUCCAACGCAAAAAGUUGAAGAUAGUGUCAAGAAGAUGGAACAAGAAAAGAGGACUAGGAAACUAACACAUACAACAAAAUCCCCCUCCAGUGAAAAAGGCUUGCCUUAAGGUGGCACGUCAUCUCUAGCCAUUUUACCAAAAGCUUCUAUGAGAGACUGUUUGAGCUUUUCUGUUGUAGUUAAACCAGCGUCCUUGGGCCUUACUUUGUUGCCUUCUGUUCUUAACAUUCUGCUGAACGUUAAAACCAGGUUAGGUGGGUGUUUUAUCAGGGGCUUUACUAUCAUUUUCACAUUUUAUAAGAUUAAAUUAUUAUUAUUUU